ACGAGUCCCAAUUAGGACGAAAUGCGCAUCCUAGAU
rnacentral:hammerhead_ribozyme from 1 species